CCUGGUCUACAGAGUGAGUUCCAGGAAAGGCUCCAAAGCUACACAGAGAAACCCUGUCUAAAAAACAAAAAACAACAACAAAAACUUCAUGAAACUGCUUCUAUGUUGAAACAGACUUUGGAGUAACCCAAAUCUGUGUUCAGCUCCAGUUUUCUAGAGCCAUGGUCACUCAAAGUGGCUCCAGAAUGAACAAUGGGCCACCAAGUUACCAUGCAAACUGAGUCAUGCCCAUUAUGAGCUGGCUAUUAUCAGACCCACAAAGCCAUAAAGUAGGACAUACACAACAGCAAUCCAACCAAUAUCAAAUGGAAGUGGUAUAGAUGUGAUCGGGCCCAAGCUGGUCCUGAAGGCACAAACAAAUUAUGUGAAGAAGUUGCCCAGAUGCCUAUGGUUUCUACUCCUGUUACAAGACCUUCUGUUUCCAAACGUACCUAUGGCCUCAGGAGGUGUGCCUACGAUCGGAUGACUGAGGAAGAAAAGACCAGGAUCUGGUUUGCUGAUAGUGCUGCAUGUGGGCACCACCCAGAGAUGGACAACAGGAGCAUUACAGUUCCAUUCUAGGAUAACCCUAAAAGACACUGGCGAAGGGAAAUCUUCACAGUGGACAGAACUCUGGGUAGUACACAUGGUCAUACAUUUUGCUUGGAAGGAGAAAUGGCAGAUGUACCAUCGUUUACUGAUUCAUGGGCUGUAGCCAAUGGAUUGUCUAGAUGGUCAGGGAUGUGGAAAGAACAUGAUUGAAAAACUGAUGAGAAAGACAUCUGUGGAAGAAGUAUUUGGAUGGAUGGCUCUCUCCAAAUGGGCAAAAGAGCCCUAGCCGUCCCCAGUCUUUGGGUCAUAUUCAGUCUACUUCCUUCUCAGCUUUGGACUCUUCCAGAUGCCUCUGGCUGUUCUCUCAUAUCUACAAUAAAAAUCUUAGCCAUACCA